GGGGCUGUCUAGUUUCGACAGUUUGAACUUUAAAAGCUAAGCAAGUCGACUCAAGUAAUAAUAGUCGUAAAACCUGGUUACACGAUUAUAAGUGCAAACUUUAUAUCAAAGGCAAAGAACGCAAUCGCUAACGCUUUUGCACCAUCUUUCGCUUCUGCUGUAGCCUAAAUUGCUCAGCCAUCGAACUGCCUAUUUCUAGUAAGCAGAGCUCGGUGUCAAACACUAGAAUAGCCAUCUAUGUCUCCUUCGCGUAACUGGCAAAGCUAAUUGAAGGAUCGAUCAAUAAAGUUCGUUUGUCUUAAAUGUAUUGAUUUAAACUUCUGUUGUUGCAAACAGAAAAAAGACAAAAUAAACUUGUAGAAAUGUUUUUCUAGCCAAUUCUGGACGUGGGUUCAAUUCCCACCAGCUCCACCG
rfam:Parcubacteria (Moranbacteria) bacterium GW2011_GWE1_35_17 TR66_C0006, whole genome shotgun sequence.